rnacentral:rRNA from 1 species
UGGGGAAUAUUGGACAAUGGGGGCAACCUUGAUCCAGCCAUGCCGCGUGUGUGAAGAAGGCCCUCGGGUUGUAAAGCACUUUCAGCGAGGAAGAACGCCUGUCGGUUAAUACCCGGCAGGAAAGACAUCACUCGCAGAAGAAGCACCGGCUAACUCCGUGCCAGCAGCCGCGGUAAUACGGAGGGUGCAAGCGUUAAUCGGAAUUACUGGGCGUAAAGCGCGCGUAGGUGGCUUGAUAAGCCGGUUGUGAAAGCCCCGGGCUCAACCUGGGAACGGCAUCCGGAACUAUUAGGCUGGAGUGCAGGAGAGGAAGGUAGAAUUCCCGGUGUAGCGGUGAAAUGCGUAGAGAUCGGGAGGAAUACCAGUGGCGAAGGCGGCCUUCUGGACUGACACUGACACUGAGGUGCGAAAGCGUGGGUAGCAAACAGGAUUAGAUACCCCCGUAGUCC